rnacentral:tRNA from 1 species
AUGGCCGCUCGCAAGGGGCACGGUGUCUUCUCAUGAUGCCAACGGCGAUGCCCAUUGUCGUAGGGGUUCCUUCUCCCUCUGCCAUC